rnacentral:rRNA from 1 species
AACGAACGCUGGCGGCAGGCCUAACACAUGCAAGUCGAACGAACCGUUUACGGUGAGUGGCGCACGGGUGAGUAACACGUGGGAAUAUACAUUUCGGUAAGGAAUAACGUAGAGAAAUUUACGCUAAUACCUUAUAAUGACUACGGUCCAAAGAUUUAUCGCCGAAGGAUUAGCCCGCGUUAGAUUAGGUAGUUGGUAGGGUAAUGGCCUACCAAGCCUACGAUCUAUAGCUGGUCUUAGAGGAUGAUCAGCCACACUGGAACUGAGACACGGUCCAGACUCCUACGGGAGGCAGCAGUGAGGAAUAUUGCGCAAUGGGGGAAACCCUGACGCAGCCAUGCCGCGUGAGUGACGAAGGCCUUAGGGUUGUAAAGCUCUUUCAGAUGUAAAGAUAAUGACGGUAACAUCAGAAGAAGCUCCGGCUAAAUUCGUGCCAGCCGCCGCGGUAA